GCAAGUCGAACGGCAGCAUAGAGAGCUUGCUCUCUGAUGGCGAGUGGCGAACGGGUGAGUAAUAUAUCGGAACGUGCCUAGUAAUGGGGAAUAACUAGCUGAAAGGUUAGCUAAUGCCGCAUACGACCUACGGGUGAAAGCAGGGGAUCUUCGGACUUUGCGUUAUUAGAGCGGCCGAUAUCUGAUUAGCUUGUUGGUGGGGUAAUGGCCUACCAAGGCGACGAUCAGUAGCUGGUCUGAGAGGACGAUCAGCCACACUGGAACUGAGACACGGUCCAGACUCCUACGGGAGGCAGCAGUGGGGAAUUUUGGACAAUGGGGGCAACCCUGAUCCAGCCAUUCCGCGUGAGUGAAGAAGGCCUUCGGGUUGUAAAGCUCUUUCGCAAGAGAAGAAAACUUGCUAUCUAAUAAAUAGUAAGUAUGACGGUAUCUUGACAAGAAGCACCGGCUAACUACGUGCCAGCAGCCGCGGUAAUACGUAGGGUGCAAGCGUUAAUCGGAAUUACUGGGCGUAAAGCGUGCGCAGGCAGUUUUAUAAGUCAGAUGUGAAAUCCCCGAGCUCAACUUGGGAACUGCGUUUGAAACUAUAAGACUAGAGUGUGUCAGAGGGGGGUAGAAUUCCAAGUGUAGCAGUGAAAUGCGUAGAGAUUUGGAGGAAUAC
rnacentral:rRNA from 1 species